rnacentral:ncRNA from 1 species
AUAAACAUAUCGAAAAGCAGAGUAGUAACUGGCGAUUAGCAAGAGAGUUCUCGGGUGGUGAAAGAGGAUGAUUUAAGGUUAUGAAGAUGGGCUUGGAAUGGCACUAGCGAUUAUUUAGCUAGUGACGGGGUUGCACACGUUAUUAGUGCAAGGUAAUUCUGUUUGAUCAGAGUAACCUAGCAAGGCUAUUUUUCGUGAGGAAGUAGCAAACUAAAGGUGGUAACACGAGCACUCGUCCUUUAU